rnacentral:rRNA from 1 species
UACGAAGGGGGCUAGCGUUGCUCGGAAUCACUGGGCGUAAAGGGCGCGUAGGCGGAUCUUUAAGUCGGGGGUGAAAGCCCAGGGCUCAACCCUGGAAUUGCCUUCGAUACUGAAGAUCUCGAGACCGGAAGAAGUAAGUGGAACUGCGAGUGUAGAGGUGAAAUUCGUAGAUAUUCGGAAGAACACCAGUGGCGAAGGCGGCUCACUGGCCCGGUACUGACGCUGAGGUGCGAAAGCGUGGGGAGCAAACAGG